rnacentral:rRNA from 1 species
AACCUUCCUUUAAGUGGGGGAUAGCCCAGAGAAAUUUGGAUUAAUACCCCGUAACAUUAUAGAGUGGCAUCACUUCAUAAUUAUAGAUUUAUCGCUUAGAGAUGGCUGUGCGGCUGAUUAGGUAGUUGGUGAGGGUAACGGCCCACCAAGCCUUCGAUCAGUAACUGGUGUGAGAGCACGACCAGUCACACGGGCACUGAGACACGGGCCCGACUCCUACGGGAGGCAGCAGUAAGGAAUAUUGGUCAAUGGACGCAAGUCUGAACCAGCCAUGCCGCGUGAAG